UACGGAGGGAGCUAGCGUUGUUCGGAAUUACUGGGCGUAAAGCGCACGUAGGCGGCUUUGUAAGUUAGAGGUGAAAGCCUGGGGCUCAACUCCAGAACUGCCUUUAAAAACUGCAUCGCUUGAAUCCAGGAGAGGUGAGUGGAAUUCCGAGUGUAGAGGUGAAAAUUCGUAGAUAUUCGGAAGAACACCAGUGGCGAAGGCGGCUCACUGGACUGGUAUUGACGCUGAGGUGCGAAAGCGUGGGGAGCAAACAGG
rnacentral:rRNA from 1 species